ACUCAUGAAUUUUCAGACAAUUGCAGACGUUAUAUAUCAUAUUACGUCACUUCUAGAUUGCUGCAUCAUAACUCUGAUGUUUACUAAUCAAUGAACUCUAAAUCAUGAACACUGACUCCAUGUUAUAAUGUGAUUCUACCUAAACUCACGUAAUACAGGAACACGUGGCUAGAAUUUAAAUAAAAUCUUGAACAAUUUUGGUCAGUUUUUGGUAUUAUUAAGUCAGUUUAAGAAAUGUUUCCAUUUUGGUCCACCUACAUGUAUGUACAAGAUGACCGUGCAUCUUUCUGAAGUAUACAUAUUUAGUUACAGAGGAUAGUAGGCAUUCUGGAUAAGAUAUUUUUAAACAGUUAAAUUAUCUUUAUUGUUGAUGUAUACUGUAUGACAUUAGAUAAAGUUCAUUACUAGAUUGUUGUCAGUUCUUAAAAUAGCGUUUCUAAAAAUGUACAAUACUCAGUGACAGUCAAAACGAGAAGUAAACAAAGCUGUAAGAAUGUAAGACCUGGAUGCUCCAACGGGUAUUUUUGUGGUUGAAAGUGAUGGUAGAAUAAAAAUACAACCAUUC
rnacentral:sRNA from 1 species